rnacentral:lncRNA from 1 species
UUUUUCCCUUCAGCCAGCAUUAGGGUUUUAAACCCUAAACUGAGCUUUUCCAUUCAAUCAGCAUUAGGGUUUUAAACCCUAAACUGAAUUUUUCCUUUAGUCAGCAUUUGGGUUUUAAACCCUAAACUGAAGUUUUUUCCAUUCAGCCAGCAUUAGGGUUUUAAACCCUAAACUGAGCUUUUCCAUGCAAUCAGCAUUAGAGUUUUAAACCCUAAACUAAAUUUUUCCUUUAGUCAGCAUUAGGGUUUUAAACCCUAAACUGAAUUUUUUUCCAUUCAGCCAGCAUUAGGGUUUUAAACCCUAAACUGAGCUUUUCCAUGCAAUCAGCAUUAGGGUUUUAAACCCUAAACUGAAUUUUUCCUUUAGUCAGCAUUAGGGUUUUAAACCCUAAACUGAAUUUUUUUCCAUUCAGCCAGCAUUAGGGUUUUAAACCCUAAACUGAGCUUUUCCAUGCAAUCAGCAUUAGGGUUUUAAACCCUGAACUGAAUUUUUCCUUUAGUCAGCAUUAGGGUUUUAAACCCUAAACUGAACUUUUUUCCAUUCAACCAGCAUUAAGAUUUUAAACCCUAAACUGAGCUUUUCCAUGCAAUCAGCAUUAGGGUUUUAAACCCUGAACUGAAUUUUUCCUUUAGUCAACAUUAGGGUUUUAAACCCUAAACUGAAUUUUUUCCUUUCAGCCAGCAUUAGGGUUUUAAACCCUAACUGAGCUUUUCCAUGCAAUUAGCAUUAGGGUUUUAAACCCUAACUGAGCUUUUCCAUGCAAUCAGCAUUAGGGUUUUAAACCCUAAACUGAACUAUUUCCAUUCAGCCAGCAUUAGGGUUUUAAACCCUAAACUGAGCUUUUUCCAUGCAUGUCAGCAUUAGGGUUUUAAACCCUAAACUGAAUUCUUUCCUUUAGUCAGCAUUAGGGUUUUUAAACCCUGAACUGAACUUUUUCCUUUAAUCAGCAUUAGGGUUUUAAACCCUAAACUGAACUUUUCCCCAGUUGGUCAGUAUUAGAGUUUCAACUCUAAACUGAACCUUUCCCCAGCUAGUCGAUAUUAGGGCUCCAACCCUGAACUGAGCAUGCAUUCCUCUUUCAUCAAUUUUAUGAACUUCCUGGCGAAUAAUUCACGAAAGUUUCCUAGUGAAACUGGGGCAGAAAAUUUCGUUCAUUUGUUUUUCCCGUAGGUCUAACCUCGAGCCACACGGAUCGAAACGACCCACAAGAUGAGUGUCAACUCAGAAUCUAAGAAGAAAAAGAAAAAAAAAGAUGUCCCGAGACACCGGAGAAAGUGGAAGGCGGAUCGCUCCAAGAUUUGAUCAAGGUCCCGAGUUCUACCAACCCCGUCAUAUUCAGUAUCGCAGAAAUAAAUAGGCGCCUCCAACUUGCAAGCAUCAAGAUUCAGAUCGGAGUCUACAAGCAGAAUCAGCUAAGACCCAAGAUCAGGUCGCAAAAGAAUCAUAGAUAGGAAUCUUGUAACUAGCAGUUGACAUGCAUAUAAGUGUUUAGUUCAGUUUCAAUUUUCCUUUGGUUGUAAUAAGGCGGUCAGUGACACAGCAGUGACAACAGCAACAAUAGUAACAUCGGGCAUUGCAAUCCCAUGGUAGUCCCAACUACCAAAGCUUCUCGAACUACAUUGACCUGAUUCCUGUUCAGCCCAGGAUAUGUAGGAAAUCUUUGAAGCAAGAUUCGGU